rnacentral:rRNA from 1 species
AGAGCGGCGGACGGGUGAGUAACGCGUGGGUAACCUGCCCUGUACACACGGAUAACAUACCGAAAGGUAUGCUAAUACGAGAUAAUAUACUUUUAUCGCAUGGUAGAAAUAUCAAAGCUUUUGCGGUACAGGAUGGACCCGCGUCUGAUUAGCUAGUUGGUAAGGUAACGGCUUACCAAGGCGACGAUCAGUAGCCGACCUGAGAGGGUGAUCGGCCACAUUGGAACUGAGACACGGUCCAAACUCCUACGGGAGGCGGCAGUGGGGAAUAUUGCACAAUGGGCGAAAGCCUGAUGCAGCAACGCCGCGUGAGCGAUGAAGGCCUUCGGGUCGUAAAGCUCUGUCCUCAAGGAAGAUAAUGACGGUACUUGAGGAGGAAGCCCCGGCUAACUACGUGCCAGCAGCCGCGGUAAUACGUAGGGGGCUAGCGUUAUCCGGAAUUACUGGGCGUAAAGGGUGCGUAGGUGGUUUCUUAAGUCAGAGGUGAAAGGCUACGGCUCAACCGUAGUAAGCCUUUGAAACUGGGAAACUUGAGUGCAGGAGAGGAGAGUGGAAUUCCUAGUGUAGCGGUGAAAUGCGUAGAUAUUAGGAGGAACACCAGUUGCGAAGGCGGCUCUCU